CCCCUGGCACUGUGGAUACAGCUUAAGGACCUAUCAAAUGUUUCUUUCUCUUUAUCAAUUAACAAGAACUACCAGAAGCAGUCUGCUUUCGCCUGACAGGGACAACAGUACACCUUUGUCCUCUUCUCUUGGGGCCAUAUCAACUCCGGGAUCUUGGUUAUUUUGAUAUCCUACAGAAUAUCAUGCUGAUUGGACCUGGCAAGCAGGAAAAGUUGCAAACACCCUAGAUGCCUUAGUAAGAUACCUGUGUGUUACAGGAUGGAGCCUGACUGGCUCAUGGAGAAAGCCUACCUAAGAAUGAAGCCGGGACCCGGCAGAUGGCUCCUGUGAAUGGUGGCAAGAAGAAAAAGGGCCAUUCUGCCAUCAAUGAGGUGGUGACCCGAGAAUACACCAUCAACAUUCACAAGUGCAUCCAUGGAGUGGGCUUCAAGAAGCGUGCCCCUUGGGCACUUAAAGAGAUUCGGAAAUUUGCCAUGAAGGAGAUGGGAACUCUAGAUGUGCGCAACUGAUACCAGGCUCAACAAGGCUGUCUGGGCCAAAGGAAUAAGGAAUGUCCCAUGCCGAAUCCAUGUGCAGUUGUCCAGAGAACAUAAUGAGGAUGAAGAUUCACCAAAUAAGCUCUAUACUUUGGUUACCUAUGUACCUGUUACCACUUUCAAAAAUCUACAGAUAGUCAUUGUGGAUGAGAACUAAUCACUGAUUGUCAACUAUAUCAAAUAAAGUUAUAAAACUGCAAAAAAAAAAAAAAAAAAAGAAUGAAGCCAACACCAAGGAAAACAAAGAUGUCUUCAUGUGUAUGACAGAACAAGUAACAGACUAACAGAAGCUGCACACAUGCUCAAGAAAUAGAGAUGCACGCAGAGACCUGACAACGUCCUGUGCACCUAUAUCCAGCCAAAGCAUACAGCAGAUUGACCUCACGAUUUUUCACAUACAUGAACCAACAAAUUCCCUUUUUUGUUUAAGC